rnacentral:rRNA from 1 species
AGCGAACGCUGGCGGCAGGCUUAACACAUGCAAGUCGAACGAGACCUUCGGGUCUAGUGGCGCACGGGUGCGUAACGCGUGGGAAUCUGCCCUUUGCUACGGAAUAACUCAGAGAAAUUUGUGCUAAUACCGUAUAAUGUCGUAAGACCAAAGAUUUAUCGGCAAAGGAUGAGCCCGCGUAAGAUUAGCUUGUUGGUGAGGUAAAGGCUCACCAAGGCGACGAUCUUUAGCUGGUCUGAGAGGAUGAUCAGCCACACUGGGACUGAGACACGGCCCAGACUCCUACGGGAGGCAGCAGUGGGGAAUAUUGGACAAUGGGCGAAAGCCUGAUCCAGCAAUGCCGCGUGAGUGAUGAAGGCCUUAGGGUUGUAAAGCUCUUUUACCAGGGAUGAUAAUGACAGUACCUGGAGAAUAAGCUCCGGCUAACUCCGUGCCAGCAGCCGCGGUAAGGUGCGCGAGU